UGAUAAGGCCUUUUCGACACUGUCGGCGC
rnacentral:sRNA from 1 species